AACGAACGCUGGCGGCAUGCCUAACACAUGCAAGUCGAACGACACCUUCGGCUCUAGUGUCGCACCGGUUCGUAACGCGUUGAAACCUGCCCUUAGAUUCGGAAUAACUCCCCGAAAAGGGUGCUAAUACCCGAUUAUGUCUUCCGACCAAAGUUUUAUCGCCUUUGGAUGGGCCCGCGGUGGAUUAGCUAUUUGGGAGGGUAAGACCCUACCACUGCUUCGACACCUAGAUGGUCUGAGAGGCUGCGCAGCGACACUGGUAGUGAGAAACGGCCCAGACUCCUACGGGAGGGAGGAGUGGGGAAUAUUGCAAGACGGGCGACAGGAAGAUCCAGCACUGGCGCGUGAGUGAUGAAGUCCUGAGGGUUGUAAAGUGCUCUUAUACGGGAUGAGAAUGACGGUACCGGGAGAAUAAGCACCGGCUAACUACGUG
rnacentral:rRNA from 1 species